GACGAACGCUGGCGGCGUGCUUAACACAUGCAAGUCGAGCGGUAAGGCUCCUUCGGGAGUACACGAGCGGCGAACGGGUGAGUAACACGUGAGUAAUCUGCCCUUCACUUCGGGAUAACCACCGGAAACGGUGGCUAAUACCGAAUACGACCAGUCUUCGCAUGAGGUGCUGGUGGAAAGUCUUUUCGGUGAAGGAUGUGCUCGCGGCCUAUCAGCUUGUUGGUGGGGUAAUGGCCUACCAAGGCUUCGACGGGUAGCCGGCCUGAGAGGGUGACCGGCCACACUGGGACUGAGACACGGCCCAGACUCCUACGGGAGGCAGCAGUGGGGAAUAUUGGACAAUGGGCGAAAGCCUGAUCCAGCAACGCCGCGUGAGGGAUGACGGCCUUCGGGUUGUAAACCUCUUUCAGUACCGACGAAGCGACCUGUCGGGUGGUGACGGUAGGUACAGAAGAAGGACCGGCCAACUACGUG
rnacentral:rRNA from 1 species